rnacentral:lncRNA from 1 species
GAAAUGGUGGUGUCCAAUGAUGUCUCCACGCAGCUGGACUUUUUCUUGGAUGCUCUUUUGGUUGACAUUGAAUCCACAGAGAUUUCUGGCUUCAUGGAUGGCCAAACACUGAGCAUCCAGAGAUGCUUCUGUGGUUGUCUGUCCUGGCUAAAGACUCCCAAAUAAUAUUAGAGUUUGGAGAUGAAGGUUAAUGGACUGAUGGUGAUGGAAAAGAUAGCUCAGAGAUAUUUCAAGCAGGCUGCAAGAAUCUCCCAAUUUCGUCCAUCACAAAUCCAUCGUUGAUCCUGGAUGCAGGCUUCAGCUGGCAAAGGAAAGGAAAUACAGAGUUCAAAGCAAGUUUUAUUGUUAAGAUUACAUAGCAUCCUUCGGUUCUCCAAUUUGACUCUGGGAAGCUCUGUUCCCAAGCUACCAAGUGUCUGAGACUACACCUACUUGCUCAAUAGCUUAUCAUGACUAAUGACCAUGGAUGAUGUCCCUGAAGACAAGAGUUAAGACCAAAGGAAGACCUAUAACAUGGAAGAUCAUGAUCCAUCUGCACUCUUGGUGAGAGAAGCAAAGAAGUUAUCUUAGAAAGAAAAUAAUUGAAGCUACUAUCAUGUAGUAGAUGUGCACGGGUCGUGAGUAGUUUGACUUUACAAUUUUCUCUUUCUAG